AACGAACGCUGGCGGCAGGCUUAACACAUGCAAGUCGAACGGGUGUAGCAAUACAUCAGUGGCAGACGGGUGAGUAACACGUGGGAACCUUCCUCGUUGUACGGAACAACUCAGGGAAACUUGAGCUAAUACCGUAUACGUCCGAGAGGAGAAAGAUUUAUCGCAAUGAGACGGGCCCGCGUCGGAUUAGCUAGUUGGUAGGGUAACGGCCUACCAAGGCGACGAUCCGUAGCUGAUCUGAGAGGAUGAUCAGCCACACUGGGACUGAGACACGGCCCAGACUCCUACGGGAGGCAACAGUGGGGAAUCUUGGACAAUGGGCGCAAGCCUGAUCCAGCCAUGCCGCGUGAGUGAAGAAGGCCUUAGGGUUGUAAAGCUCUUUUGCCAGGGACGAUAAUGACGGUACCUGGAG
rnacentral:rRNA from 1 species